ACUGCUUUUCUUUGAAAUCCCCAAAUUGUGGAGCCCGCCAGUUUUUUACUGACGGGUUUUUUUAU
rnacentral:sRNA from 1 species